rnacentral:rRNA from 2 species
AUACAUGCAAGUCGAGCGAACAGAUGAGAAGCUUGCUUCUCUGAUGUUAGCGGCGGACGGGUGAGUAACACGUGGGUAACCUACCUAUAAGACUGGGAUAACUCCGGGAAACCGGGGCUAAUACCGGAUAAUAUUUUGAACCGCAUGGUUCAAUAGUGAAAGACGGUUUCGGCUGUCACUUAUAGAUGGACCCGCGCCGUAUUAGCUAGUUGGUAAGGUAACGGCUUACCAAGGCGACGAUACGUAGCCGACCUGAGAGGGUGAUCGGCCACACUGGAACUGAGACACGGUCCAGACUCCUACGGGAGGCAGCAGUAGGGAAUCUUCCGCAAUGGGCGAAAGCCUGACGGAGCAACGCCGCGUGAGUGAUGAAGGUCUUCGGAUCGUAAAACUCUGUUGUUAGGGAAGAACAAAUUUGUUAGUAACUGAACAAGUCUUGACGGUACCUAACCAGAAAGCCACGGCUAACUACGUGCCAGCAGCCGCGGUAAUACGUAGGUGGCAAGCGUUAUCCGGAAUUAUUGGGCGUAAAGCGCGCGUAGGCGGUUUCUUAAGUCUGAUGUGAAAGCCCACGGCUCAACCGUGGAGGGUCAUUGGAAACUGGGAAACUUGAGUGCAGAAGAGGAGAGUGGAAUUCCAUGUGUAGCGGUGAAAUGCGCAGAGAUAUGGAGGAACACCAGUGGCGAAGGCGGCUCUCUGGUCUGUAACUGACGCUGAUGUGCGAAAGCGUGGGGAUCAAACAGGAUUAGAUACCCUGGUAGUCCACGCCGUAAACGAUGAGUGCUAAGUGUUAGGGGGUUUCCGCCCCUUAGUGCUGCAGCUAACGCAUUAAGCACUCCGCCUGGGGAGUACGACCGCAAGGUUGAAACUCAAAGGAAUUGACGGGGACCCGCACAAGCGGUGGAGCAUGUGGUUUAAUUCGAAGCAACGCGAAGAACCUUACCAAAUCUUGACAUCCUUUGACCGCUCUAGAGAUAGAGUCUUCCCCUUCGGGGGACAAAGUGACAGGUGGUGCAUGGUUGUCGUCAGCUCGUGUCGUGAGAUGUUGGGUUAAGUCCCGCAACGAGCGCAACCCUUAAGCUUAGUUGCCAUCAUUAAGUUGGGCACUCUAGGUUGACUGCCGGUGACAAACCGGAGGAAGGUGGGGAUGACGUCAAAUCAUCAUGCCCCUUAUGAUUUGGGCUACACACGUGCUACAAUGGAUAAUACAAAGGGCAGCGAAUCCGCGAGGCCAAGCAAAUCCCAUAAAAUUAUUCUCAGUUCGGAUUGUAGUCUGCAACUCGACUACAUGAAGCUGGAAUCGCUAGUAAUCGUAGAUCAGCAUGCUACGGUGAAUACGUUCCCGGGUCUUGUACACACCGCCCGUCACACCACGAGAGUUUGUAACACCCGAAGCCGGUGGAGUAACCUUUUAGGAGCUAGCCGUCGAAGGUGG